GCGGAGGGCUGUCCCAUCGCUCUUUUCCUUAGGGAGAAGGGAGGAAAGUCCGGGCAGGAAAGGGCCGGACCCUGUGGAAAUCACAGCUGGUCGUAAGGUCAGGGAGCGCUUGACAGAAAAUAACCGCCGGAGGUCUUAUGACCGCCGGUAAGGGUGAAAAGGCGGGGUAAGAGCCCACCGUGACGGCCGGUGACGACCGUUGACGCAAGCACCGGUCUCCUGCAAGGCCAAGUAUACCGGCAAUAUUAGGGCUGCCCGUCCUAUGCCGGGGGGUAGGCUGCUCAGAUAAAUGAUGGGAGUUUGACAGAACCCGGCUUACAGGCCCUCCGUUUUU
rnacentral:RNase_P_RNA from 1 species